AUGAGAUUGAAAGGGGUUGUUGCUGGUCUCCUCCGAGAUAUGUGCACACCUCGCUCAUUCCACUUACACCUGUGCACCUUUGGUUGUUUGGUUCAGUAAUUGACCAGACUACCUUUUUUUACAAACUCCAAUGUAUCAGAAUGUAACUUUGCUAUAAACGCAUAUAAUA
rnacentral:misc_RNA from 1 species